rnacentral:rRNA from 1 species
GACGAACGCUGGCGGCGUGCUUAACACAUGCAAGUCGAACGGUGAAGCGCCUUCCUUUUUGGUGGGUGUGGAUGAGUGGCGAACGGGUGAGUAACACGUUAGUAACCUGCCCCCUUCUUCUGGAUAACCGCAUGAAAGUGUUGCUAAUACGGGAUAUUCUGGGUCUGUCGCAUGAUGGGUCUGGGACAGAUUUUGUUUCGGUUGGGGAUGGGCUCGCGGCCUAUUAGCUUGUUGGUGGGGUGAUGGCCUACCAAGGCGGUGACGGGUAGCCGGCCUGAGAGGGUGGACGGUCAGACGGGGAGAGAGACACGGGACAGACACGGAAGGGAGGCAGCAGUGGGGAAUAUUGAACAGUGGGCGCAAGACGGAGGCAGCGACGGCGCGUGAGGGAUGGAGGCCUUCGGGUAGUGAACCUCUUUCGCGAGGGAAGAAGGCCUGCCUCGUUUGUGGGUGGGUUGACGGUAGCAGGAUAAGAAGCGCCGGCUAACUACGU